CCUUGUGUGUUGCUUGGAUUGGUUAAGGGCUGCCGGGAAGUCUCUAUUCAAAGAGCCAACCAAAACUGAACUUGAGGUCUACGGUGAAUUGGAGAAACUUGAGCAAGAUGUUGGAAUUACCAAUCUUUCGGAUAUUGAGGAGUGAUUCUGCAGAUCUGCUUGAUUAUGGUCGAUGGAAGGGAAGUAGUCAAGCUGAAGAAUGAAGAGGAGAAAGCCAAGCUGAAGUGUUGCU